rnacentral:rRNA from 1 species
GACGAACGCUGGCGGCGUGCUUAACACAUGCAAGUCGAACGGAAAGGCCCUGCUUUUGUGGGGUGCUCGAGUGGCGAACGGGUGAGUAACACGUGAGUAACCUGCCCUUGACUUUGGGAUAACUUCAGGAAACUGGGGCUAAUACCGGAUAGGAGCUCCUGCUCCAUGGUGUGGGUUGGAAAGUUUCGGCGGUUGGGGAUGGACUCGCGGCUUAUCAGCUUGUUGGGGUGGUAGUGGCUUCCCAAGCCUUUGACGGGUAGCCGGCAUGGGAGGGUGACCGGCGACAUUGGGACUGAGAUACGGACCAGAAUCCAACGGGAGGCAGCAGUGGGGAAUAUUGCACAAUGGGGGGAAGCCUGAUGCAGAAACGCUGCGUGCGGGAUGCCGUCCUUCGGGUUGUAAACCGCUUUCGACUGUGACGAAGCGUGCGUGACGGUAAUGGGUAAAGAGGCACCGGCUAACUACGUG